GAUGAACGCUGGCGGCGUGCCUAAUACAUGCAAGUCGAGCGAACGGAUGAGAAGCUUGCUUCUCUGAUGUUAGCGGCGGACGGGUGAGUAACACGUGGAUAACCUACCUAUAAGACUGGGAUAACUUCGGGAAACCGGAGCUAAUACCGGAUAAUAUUUUGAACCGCAUGGUUCAAAAGUGAAAGACGGUCUUGCUGUCACUUAUAGAUGGAUCCGCGCUGCAUUAGCUAGUUGGUAAGGUAACGGCUUACCAAGGCAACGGUGCAUAGCCGACCUGAGAGGGUGAUCGGCCACACUGGAACUGAGACACGGUCCAGACUCCUACGGGAGGCAGCAGUAGGGAAUCUUCCGCAAUGGGCGAAAGCCUGACGGAGCAACGCCGCGUGAGUGAUGAAGGUCUUCGGAUCGUAAAACUCUGUUAUUAGGGAAGAACAUAUGUGUAAGUAACUGUGCACAUCUUGACGGUACCUAAUCAGAAAGCCACGGCUAACUACGUGCCAGCAGCCGCGGUAAUACGUAGGUGGCAAGCGUUAUCCGGAAUUAUUGGGCGUAAAGCGCGCGUAGGCGGUUUUUUAAGUCUGAUGUGAAAGCCCACGGCUCAACCGUGGAGGGUCAUUGGAAACUGGAAAACUUGAGUGCAGAAGAGGAAAGUGGAAUUCCAUGUGUAGCGGUGAAAUGCGCAGAGAUAUGGAGGAACACCAGUGGCGAAGGCGACUUUCUGGUCUGUAACUGACGCUGAUGUGCGAAAGCGUGGGGAUCAAACAGG
rnacentral:rRNA from 1 species